rnacentral:rRNA from 1 species
CAAUAGCGUAUAUUAAAGUUGUUGCGGUAAAAAAGCUCGUAGUUGGAUUUCUGUUGAGAGCGACCGGUCCAUACCAUGUAUGCGUAUCUGGCUUGCUCUCGGCAUCCUCUCGAUAGACGUUACUGCGCUUGAUUGCGUAGUGCGGAUCUCGGGACUUUUACUUUGAGGAAAUUAGAGUGUUCACGGCAGGCUUUCGCCAGAAUACAUUAGCAUGGAAUAAUACUAUAGGAUCUUGGUUCUAUUUUGUUGGUUUCUAGAAUUGAGAUAAUGAUUAAUAGGGACAAUUGGGGGCAUUCGUAUCAACACGUCAGAGGUGGAAUUCUUGGAUUGUGUUGCGACGAACUACUGCGAAAGCAUUUGCCAAGGAUGUUUUCAUUGA